rnacentral:sRNA from 1 species
GUUUUUUGUUUUUGUUUUAAAAGACAAGGUCUCAAGUGGCUUGGCUUGCCCUGGAAUUCACUGGGGCUGCAGACCUGCACCUACUCCAGGUUUACAUGGUGCUUGGGAUAGAAUUUAGGGAUUUGUGCUGGAUAAGCAUCUUAUCAAAUAACCUCGGCUAAAAAGGGUCCAAGAAUGAGCAUAUCCUUCCCAGGCAAAGGUCGUUCUUUAGGUCAGGGGACUGAUACUCUGCGCUAUUAAACUUGAAACACUUGGUUGUGAGCCUAGCCUUCUCUCCAGCCCGAAACACAGUCUCAGCCAUGUGUCACCUACAUCCGUUUCAGGGACUUCUAAAAUCAUAACCUAUGGGCUUCUAAGCUUGUAGGCAAGAGGCAGCCCCACAGAUGAGCGAGUAGUUAGUCUCCAAGGCAACGGAGCCUUGGUUAAUUACCAGGAUUGGGAGAAGGCUCCCAGGUCAGCGCUUGCGAGUUUCGGCCACUAGGGGGAGACAAGGUUAUUGUUUUACCGGCCUGAGCAGCGGAGAAGAGGAAAAGUACUGAGGCACGCUGAGCAAAGCCUUUGAGAACAUCGGCAACAAAGCUCACUGUUCCAGGGCCGCAGCAAAGCACUGCACUGCAAUCUGGAUGCGCACAGAUGCCAUCAGGAACCACGGGCCUGAUGUUGACAACCAAGAUUACCCACCCCAGUCACCUACCUACUGCUUCCUGUGAAUUGGAUAUAAAUCUUCUUUAUGGGCACUGAGUCCCCGGGAACCCGAAGAAGUGAUGUGUGCAUUGUUCUGAUGACAGGGAGAAACGAGGCGCGGAGAAGUAAAUUGGCAGAGUCUAACAGUCAGCGAGGAGGAGGGAUGCUGGGGUGCAGGCUCUCUGCAGCUGUAAUUCAGCUAAUCACCUUGAGAUGUAAUUGCCUAUACUGCCUGGGGACAGGUAUCCUCUGGAGACUCACGAUGGAGUGGCAAAGGUAGGGAGAGUUGUGGAAAAUGAAGACAGAGAUGGGAGCAUUGACUGUGGACAUCUGAGCCAUCGAAGCUGGGAAAGGUCCUCACACAUGCACCUGAGAGCCCAGAGAGCCCAGUCUGAACUCUCAAAAGGAUGUUUUGAGAUGUGUCAGAUCAGGAAAGGAGGGGGCACGCUCGGGAGCUGUUAUGUCAUAUGCCCAAAGCUGGGCCUUCAAGAAGGCAGCACUUCUGUCUUAUGACCUGGAGCACUUCUUACUAUUCCCACAACACAUCUGCUUUUCUGGGGACCUAUCACAUUUGCCCUUAUAUCUCCUGUGAUAUAGAUAACCAGGUUUUGCUGCCCUGCUCAGGUGUGAGCAUCCAAUUUGGCUCAGUAUGUUGCAAGCAUGAUUUUCUUAUUCUGAUAUUUAUUUAUUUAUUUGAUCAUAGUAUAGGGUUGUAAUAAAGGAUGUGGAAAGUGAGCACA